UCGACAUGGAACUCUUUCAAUAUCAGGUGAAGUCCAAUAGGGAGGGCAUCGCAGGUGAUUGACAAGCACUGCGGUCCAACCUAUUGGUCAAUACCUGGUCACAUGACACAUCGGAGGCGGGG
rnacentral:precursor_RNA from 8 species